GAUGAACGCUGGCGGCGUGCUUAACACAUGCAAGUCGAACGAAGCACUUUAUUUGAUUUCCUUCGGGACUGAUUAUUUUGUGACUGAGUGGCGGACGGGUGAGUAACGCGUGGGUAACCUGCCUUGUACAGGGGGAUAACAGUUGGAAACGGCUGCUAAUACCGCAUAAGCGCACAGCAUCGCAUGAUGCAGUGUGAAAAACUCCGGUGGUAUAAGAUGGACCCGCGUUGGAUUAGCUAGUUGGUGAGGUAACAGCCCACCAAGGCGACGAUCCAUAGCCGACCUGAGAGGGUGACCGGCCACAUUGGGACUGAGACACGGCCCAAACUCCUACGGGAGGCAGCAGUGGGGAAUAUUGCACAAUGGGCGAAAGCCUGAUGCAGCGACGCCGCGUGAGCGAAGAAGUAUUUCGGUAUGUAAAGCUCUAUCAGCAGGGAAGAUAAUGACGGUACCUGACGAAGAAGCACCGGCUAAAUACGUG
rnacentral:rRNA from 1 species